rnacentral:lncRNA from 1 species
ACCUGGGCCAAGGAAACUCAUACUAUGUACAUUUUGUCUUGUUUUUGCAGGAUUUUGUGGUCUUCUGCCCCUUUCCCUCCAUACCACAUUCACACCAUACUGAUGCUCUGUGGGAGAAUCCAAAAGCAGAGUCUGUGGACUCUACAACUCUACUUUCUCUUGAACAUACGCUUACUUCCAGGAGGAGCAUUCAAGCCGAGAGAGCUCGAAACACCUGCCCCAGACCAGAUGCCCAAGGUGCCAGCUGGGCAAGCUGUCAACCCUCUUCCACCUGGAUUGAAUUGUUUGAUUUAAGAGACGCAGUUCUGAAAGAGGACAGGAUGCCUCUCCCUCCAUUCCACACAUCCCCCAGCCCGUUCCCAGCACACAUCCAUUCUGUUGCAAAUGCCAGUAGUGGCCCUGGCUAAAAUUUCUCUAUCUGGGCUGGACUGCCAGAAUGCCCUCCCUCUUCCAGGCAGAUACUGGCUCAGUGCACAACCCACCCAGUCAGUGUCGUGCUGCCAGAUGUCCGCAUGUCCUUGCUCUGUGUCAUGCCAUUCACCUCCUGAAGGUCCUGUAGUGGCUACCACUGGCCCCUGCAGCAUAUCCACACAUGGUGGCUUAUGACAUCAGACUUUGUUAACAAG